ACAGAACAGAACAGAACACAACAGAACACAAAUCGCGCCUCCUCCUUCUCUCACCAAACCAUCCCCCUUUCAUCCCAACCCAACAAACAAACCCUAGCUAACCCCCACUCCACCCUCCCUCUCACUCUCCGGCGCCGCCGUCGCAGCCGACGCCGCGGCCUCGCUCGCCGGACCGCGCGUGCGGCGCUCCGUCGACCUUGCCUUGCCUCGCCGCGUCGCGCCAUCCGCGCGCAGCAGGAUCCGGAGCAGGCGGCAACUUCUUCCCGCCGCUACCCGCCAGAUCCGCGCGCAGCAGCCACGACAAGAAGAUGGCGGCCCGCCUCCUAGACCACCACUGCCACGGGAGGGACGGGAGGUUGUUGCAGUCUUGGCCCUGCCCAGUCCACCGUCUCCCUUCCCCUACCAUGUCUGCUUCGUUCCGGCUCCGGUGGUGGCCAUGCUACACCAGCUGCUGCUAGCGUUGAUCUGCUGCUGGCCAGCACUCCAGGGACGUCUGAAAGGUCGGCGAAAGGUCUGCCUUGCCCGCACCGACGUGCAGUGCAGGUUCCUAUUCCGGUGCUGAUAAUGCUAUCCACCGCAGCUCCUUAUGGCGCUGCCAGCAGCGUCUGUGUCGCCGAGCUGCCCCUGUUUUCUAUGACUGGGACCUCUCCUACAACACUGCGUCCCCCAUCGCAAGGGGGAGAGCUUUAAUAAUCCUAUUGAUGCGCAAGUUUUGGAGAGAUUGAGUAACCAGAGCUCAUCACAGCUCCCUGAUUGGCCGACCUGCGCCUCCACCUGGACUAUUACAUUGCUGGCCCAUGGCCCAUGGCCUGCUCACAUGGCCUCGUCCUUUUUUUCCCUGUUAAUGGUCGCCACUGCCUGCAGCUUAAAAGUGUGAAUGCAUUUCAACGGGUGAAGCUGGAUGAUGUUAAGCUUGCUUAUGUAAGACUUGAGGCUAAACAGGAAAGGCUUUUGUGGCUGGCACGAUUACUCCGGGCCAGAGUACGAGAAGCUAGUGAUGUUGCUGGAGAGGAUGCCGCCACCGCCAGUGUCCUGUGGAUGACCAGGACUUCCAUGAGCACGAGGUGUUCAGGAUGGCAAUGCUAGCCGGCAUCACCAUCAAGUACGGAUUCGAGUCUCAGAAGGCUGGGAGCAUAGAAGACUGCUGGUCUGAUGCAUGUCGGUAGGGUGGAAGAACAACAAUUGAAAGCUGAACUACUGUUUGGUUUGAACGCCUGGGUUGUAUUGGUUGUGGUUUGCUAUUUGUGACUCUAAAUCUGGAAUGUUGGGUGGUAGUCGAUGGUUCCUGUAAUGCUCCUGACUGUAACGUCUAUUUGGUUGGACUUGCGAUGGAGUUGGGUUGUGAUGUUGCACUUCUAUCGAUUAUUACUGUUUGAAUUGUCAUCUGAUUAGCCAAAAAUAAGGGUAUGUAAUGCCGAAUUUUUCAGAUACCCUCAAAUGGUCUAGAAUCGAUCAUAGCAAUUGGCCCGUGAUGAAGCGGCCGCCAGGUGGACUUGCACAUGCAUGUAUGUGAUCCAGCUACAUAGCCCAAAUAGAAUGCAAAGGGAGAGCUUUUAUAAUCCUGAUGUUCCAAAAGCGUGGUGGUGGUGCUGUCCACCAGAGCUGCUGCCUCUGUCCGCGCCACCGAGCUGAAGCUGCUGGCGUCCAUUGGUAUGCUUCACCAAGUAGCUUCACUUAUUAAUUGGAUAGGCUUUUGUGGCUGGCCGCAAGAUUUCCGCAGCGGCAGAGGCGGCAUGCUAGUAGAGGAUGCCAUGACCAGGACUUCCAUGACCAUGAGGUGUUCAGGAUGGCAACGCUCGCCGGCAUCACCAUCAAGUACGGAGUCGAGUCUCAGAUGGCUGGGAGCAUAGAAGGCUGCUGGUCUGAUGCAUGACCGGAGGUUGGAAUAACAAGUGAAAGCUGAACUACUGUUUGGUUUGAACGCCUGGGAUGUAUUGGUUGUGGUUUGCUAUUUGUGACUCCAAUUCUGGAAUGUUGGGUGGUAGUCGAUGUUUCUUGGAAUGCUCCAGACUGUAAUGUCUGUUUGGUUAUAUUUGCGAUGGAGUUGGAAUGCUCCGGACUGUAAUGUCUGUUUGGUUAUAUUUGCGAUGGAGUUGGAAUGCUCCAGACUGUGUCGUCUUUUAUUGA